UACAGAGGUCCCAAGCGUUGUUCGGAAUUACUGGGCGUAAAGGGCGCGUAGGCGGCCGAUCAAGUCAGGCGUGAAAUUCCCGGGCUCAACCUGGGGGCUGCGCUUGAUACUGAUUGGCUUGAAUGCGGGAGAGGAUAGUGGAAUUCCCAGUGUAGAGGUGAAAUUCGUAGAUAUUGGGAAGAACACCGGUGGCGAAGGCGGCUAUCUGGCCCGUAAUUGACGCUGAGGCGCGAAAGCGUGGGGAGCAAACAGG
rnacentral:rRNA from 1 species